rnacentral:rRNA from 1 species
AUGAACGCUGGCGGCGUGCCUAAUACAUGCAAGUCGAGCGAACAGAUGAGGAGCUUGCUCCUCUGACGUUAGCGGCGGACGGGUGAGUAACACGUGGAUAACCUACCUAUAAGACUGGGAUAACUUCGGGAAACCGGAGCUAAUACCGGAUAAUAUAUUGAACCGCAUGGUUCAAUAUUGAAAGACGGUUUUGCUGUCACUUAUAGAUGGAUCCGCGCCGCAUUAGCUAGUUGGUAAGGUAACGGCUUACCAAGGCAACGAUGCGUAGCCGACCUGAGAGGGUGAUCGGCCACACUGGAACUGAGACACGGUCCAGACUCCUACGGGAGGCAGCAGUAGGGAAUCUUCCGCAAUGGGCGAAAGCCUGACGGAGCAACGCCGCGUGAGUGAUGAAGGUCUUCGGAUCGUAAAACUCUGUUAUUAGGGAAGAACAAAUGUGUAAGUAACUAUGCACGUCUUGACGGUACCUAAUCAGAAAGCCACGGCUAACUACGUG